AUUAGCGGCGGACGGGUGAGUAACACGUGGGCAACCUGCCUAUAAGACUGGGAUAACUUCGGGAAACCGGAGCUAAUACCGGAUACGUUCUUUUCUCGCAUGAGAGAAGAUGGAAAGACGGUUUACGCUGUCACUUAUAGAUGGGCCCGCGGCGCAUUAGCUAGUUGGUGAGGUAAUGGCUCACCAAGGCGACGAUGCGUAGCCGACCUGAGAGGGUGAUCGGCCACACUGGGACUGAGACACGGCCCAGACUCCUACGGGAGGCAGCAGUAGGGAAUCUUCCGCAAUGGACGAAAGUCUGACGGAGCAACGCCGCGUGAACGAAGAAGGCCUUCGGGUCGUAAAGUUCUGUUGUUAGGGAAGAACAAGUACCAGAGUAACUGCUGGUACCUUGACGGUACCUAACCAGAAAGCCACGGCUAACUACGUGCCAGCAGCCGCGGUAAUACGUAGGUGGCAAGCGUUGUCCGGAAUUAUUGGGCGUAAAGCGCGCGCAGGUGGUUCCUUAAGUCUGAUGUGAAAGCCCACGGCUCAACCGUGGAGGGUCAUUGGAAACUGGGGAACUUGAGUGCAGAAGAGGAAAGUGGAAUUCCAAGUGUAGCGGUGAA
rnacentral:rRNA from 1 species